rnacentral:rRNA from 1 species
UACAUGGAUAACCGUGGUAAUUCUAGGGCUAAUACAUGCUACAAUACCCGACUUCUGGAAGGGUUGUAUUUAUUAGAUACUAAACCAAUGCCGCAAGGCAUUGUGCUGAAUCAUAGUAACUGAUCGGAUCGGAGCGCAAGCUGCGAUAAAUCAUUCAAGUUUCUGACCUAUCAGCUUUCGAUGGUAGUGUAUUGGACUACCAUGGCAGUCACGGGUAACGGAGAAUUAGGGUUCGAUUCCGGAGAGGGAGCCUGAGAAACGGCUACCACAUCUAAGGAAGGCAGCAGGCGCGUAAAUUACCCAAUCCUGAUUCAGGGAGGUAGUGACAAGAAAUAACAACCUGGGAGCCUUUGGCUCUACGGGAUUGCAAUGAGAACAAUUUAGAUCACUUAGCGAGGAACAAUUGGAGGGCAAGUCUGGUGCCAGCAGCCGCGGUAAUUCCAGCUCCAAUAGCGUAUAUUAAAGUUGUUGCAGUUAAAAAGCUCGUAGUUGAAUGUCUGAUCAUUGCUUGUUUUGGCUUCGGUCAGGCAAGUAGUGGUCAUCCGCAUACGAAAACAGUUCGGCCUUCACUGGUUCGGCUGUGGGAGUGUGCAUUUUACUUUGAAAAAAUUAGAGUGUUUCAGGCAGGCAAUGGCUUGAAUACAUUAGCAUGGAAUAAUGGAAUAGGACUUGAGUCCAUUUUGUUGGUUAUUGGACUUUAGUAAUGAUUAAUAGGGACAGUUGGGGGCAUUAGUAUUUAAUUGUCAGAGGUGAAAUUCUUGGAUUUAUUAAAGACUAACUUAUGCGAAAGCAUUUGCCAAGGAUGUUUUCAUUAAUCAAGAACGAAAGUUAGGGGAUCAAAGACGAUCAGAUACCGUCCUAGUCU